rnacentral:rRNA from 1 species
UACAGAGGUCUCGAGCGUUAGGCGGAAUCACUGGGCUUAAAGCGUGUGUAGGUGGAUGCCUAAGUACCUUGUGAAAUCCCACGGCUCAACCGUGGAACUGCCGGGCAUACUGGCGAUCUUGAGGCAUUCAGGGGCGAGCGGAACAAGUGGUGGAGCGGUGAAAUGCGUAGAUAUCACUUGGAACGCCAAUGGUGAAAACAGCUCGCUGGGAAUGAUCUGACACUGAGACGCGAAAGCCAGGGGAGCGAACGGG